rnacentral:misc_RNA from 1 species
AACGCACAUUGCGCCCAUUGGUAUUCCGAUGGGCAUGCCUGUUCGAGCGUCAUUAUCAACCAUCAAGCCUGGCUUGUUAUUGGACUCGCUGUCCGGUUAAAGGACACGUCCCAAAGAUAAUGACAGUGUCGAGUGUGACCCUAGAUGCAACGAGCUUUUCUAAAGCACGCAUGUCAAGGGGCCGCUUGGCCUGGUCUUGACCAUUUUUUUUCAAAGGUUGACCUCGGAUCAGGUAGGGAUACCCGCUGAACUUAA